UGUGUGUGUGUUGGGGUUUUUAAUAACAGCUGCAAGGUAAGGAAAGGUAAAAGGUAUACGAGGAGUCGGCAUUGCUGGUGGGGUUCUCCUUCUUUUCUUUCUUUUUCCUUCCAUCUUACCAUCUUUUCUUCACCUUCUUCUUCUGCUUUCGUUAUCCCUUUUCAAAAGUUAUUUCCAACGUUGAGGAAUCUCCUCGUUUUUCUACGACGAAGAGAGCCAGUUGAUCUCGAGGUACUCGCCGGUGAACAAGUCACGCUUAGUCGCUCCGCACUUUCACCAUCCAUCCGUAUAGACUCCGUGUAUCAUCUCCUUGCGACUGGAACGUCUUUUUUGUUUUAUUUUUUAUUUUUUGGGUUUUCGAUAUUGGCAAACCUGUCGGUAUUCAGACUUUUAUUACCUCAAGAAGCCCAAUUACUGUGGUCAUUGGUGGUUCGUGUUGAAUAACUCUGGUUUCUGGUCUGGACAGUUGUGAUUUUUAGUUGAAUUCGUGACGACUUUUAUUAUUGAUGCGAUUAUUGAACAUUUGGAUACAAUAUAUCUGCUCCGCUUAACAUCGGCCUUCACCAUGGAAUGAUUCAGGUUGGAAUUUCCUUUCAAUUUAUUUUCAAUUUCAAGUUUUUUUUUUCGGGAUAUUACCCCUCCAGGAUGGAAGGGAGGGGGGCACAACAAAACAGUGGCUGUCAAACGACUUGUGUAAGAUAACAGACGAUGUAUCGGGUAGACAGCAUCCUUUAAAAAAGCUUAGAUUAUUAUUAUACAUGGAGAAUGAAAGAAGAGCAUCAGACGGAGAGAUCCAAAAUUUUUACAGGAGUGAUAGAGAUCAACCAAAAAAGGCUGUUAAAGAGCUGCUGACGAUGUGGAUGGUCAAUAAAGGUGAAAAGGCAACGCGUUUGAAAAAUGUGGUUGCUAAAAAAAACAAUUGCAAAUAUAAAGCUCUUGAAACCGAAAAUUCAGAAGGGUCUUAAGAUUGAAAUUUGAGACGGUUGGACUGAGGUACCCAAAGUCCGAACUACUCCUGUCACUACGAAGACGCGAGAAACACCAUUGUUGGGUGAAGGUUAUCAUUCGGAUUGCGAAGAUCCUAUUUUACCAUCGAUAAGAUCCCAGAGUUCAAGAGAUGAAGAUAGUCUGAAAGCACAGAAGGAAAAUUUAAAAAAGAAAAAUACCGAACUUCUCGAGAAACUUGCAGUAGCUCUCGAGCAACUCGAAUUUAUGAAAUUAUCUUCUGCUAACAAUUAAAUGUUUCGAAAAAAUAUUUUCAGAAAAACGCCACGAUAAUAUUAGCAAAGAAAAAGUUAAAAAACCCAACUAAAAUCAGUAGUUGUUGGGCCAAAACCAAAAAUUGCUUCUGCAAAGAUUGACCCACUAACAGUCAGAAAGAAUGCCGGGUAGUUGAAGUCUAUUGUAGUGGAUAAGGAAAAUCUCGCCACUGUCAAGCUUAUAAAGCCAAAGAUUGAAAAAAGUUUGAAUAUCGAGAUAAAUGAAUGUUGGACCGAACAUCCAAAAUUUGAAACCAAAGUCCUAAAGAUUCUUAAGGACUUAAAUAAGGAAGCCCAUGACUCAAACACACUCAAAACAAUUUUUCCUUAAGGAAAUAUUCGAAAGCCGAAUCCUGCAGGACCUUGACCCUUUAAAAUUGUCCACUUCUGGAAGUUAAAUGAUUUGAAUGUUUUUAAACCCAAAGUUGAUUCAAAAUUAUUAGCUAAAAAUGCUACUUGAUGAAAGGUCUCUGGCAGCAAUCUGCAAAAAUGGAAGCGACAUGCCAGAGACCUUCCUUCAAGCAAAACAAAAAUGCGCAUUGGCGUAAACUGAGCACCACUUUGGGCUUGUCUGCUCCUUUUUAGGUUGGAAUAACAUCUAUAGGGCUCU